UUAGCAAACUAAUCACUGUGCCCAGAAACCACACGGGGAGAGUGUCUAGGGAUGUCACGCACCUCUGCUACCAGGGAGGAACCUGCCGUGGCAGCAAGCUCAACAUUUAAGAACAGCAAGAGGGGACGUUAUCAGACAGCAGGAUGGGAGUCCAUUACACAUAAUCAGCCAAGACCGUUGAAGAGUGUUUUCCUGACGAGAAGAGUGCAGAGAGCAGGGCUUGACUGCAGGGUUCUGGCUCCAGUGCCAACACACCAGCAAGAGAUGCCUUGCCACAGAGGGAAGAACUAGGCAGUUACAUCAGCAAAUGGAUACACAAAUUGGAGUAAACAGGCACAGUGGGAAUAAUUCCACGACACAGCUCAUGACCAGAAGCUGAGAAAGAGAAAAGGAUCUCUGAAGAUUAACCUGGACCGGAAGACUCCACAUCUUGGCAUUACUUAGGAAUAAAACAUUACUUUGUUUGACUGCUUGAGCCAGACCAGAGGUGAUGCAUUUCCAUUUAAGCGUUAACACUGUAUUGCCCUUUCCAGAGCUCUUCAAUAUCAAAUUAAGUAUUUUGUUCUGUAAAUAAAUGUACUUAGAUUUUAUUUGGGCAACACCUAUUCCUUCUUUAUUUGGGUUGUUGGUAUAGAUUGUGAUUUGUGAAACAGGUUUGUGUCAUUUUUGUUAUUGUAAACAAAUGCAAUAUUAGUCAAUAUAAUACAAUUGUUGGCUUUAAAUUUGAUUGUGUAGUGUCAAUGCAUCAAGUACAGUAUGCCUAUGACUUAAAUGUUGUAAUUUGAUUGAAAGAGGUAUGAAGUUAAAUAUUUUCUCCUUUUAAAGACCAGUGUGCAUCCACAUGGCGUAUAUGAUACUGCUCUACAUGUGAACAUUUAAUUGAUUCGUUUUAGACCUGUUUAUACGUUUAAUUAAAGAUGCACUAAGCAGAAAUCGCUCCGCCAUUUCCUAGUUGCUAAAAUUGUAAUAGUUCGCCUAACUUUAGAUUAUGUGACAAAACGAGCAAGAAUAGUGUAGAGAAUCAUUGUACCAUCUAAACCGCUGUGGAAUAUCUUUUCAAUAAUCAAAAAUAUUGUAUUUUCAGCUAUUUGAACCUGGUAUGCAAAAGAAGCAAAAACAAAACAAAAACGGGAUGCAUAGAAAUAGCGCACAUAGAACAGUUAUACCGCUUCUUAGACUUGCUUUCAAUGAUAAUGUCCUAUUCCCCCUCAGGAGACUGAAAAUAUUUGGCAUGGUUCCUCAGAUCCUCAAAAGGUUCUACAGCUGCACCAUCGAGAGCAUCCUGACUGGUUGCAUCACUGCCUGGUAUGGGAACUGCUCGGCCUCCGAACGCAAGCCACUACAGAGGGUAGUGCAUACGGCCCAGUACAUCACUAGGGCCAAGCUUCCUGCCAUCCAGGACCUCUAUACCAGGCGGUGUCAGAGGAAGGCUCAAAAAAUUGUGAGACUCCAGCACCCCUAGUCAUACUGUUCUCUGCGCUACCGCAUGGCAAGUGGUGCUGGAGCGCCAAGUCUAGGUCCAAAGGGCUUCUAAACAGCUUCUACCCCCAAGCCAUAAGACUCUUGAACAUCUAAUCAAAUGGCUACCCAGACUAUUUGCCCCCAGCCUCCACCCACUCUUUUACACCGCUGCUACUCUCUGUUAUUAUCUAUGCAUAGUCACUUUAAUAACUCUACCUACAUGUACAUUACCUCAAUUACAUAGACUAACCGGUGCCCCCGCCCAUUGACUCUGUACUGGUACCCCCUGUACAUAGUCUCGCUAUUGUUAUUUUACUGCUUUAAUUACUUGUUCCUUUAUUUCUUAUUUGUAUCUUUUAAACUGUGUUGUUGGGUGGGGGCUUGUAAGUAAGUAUUUCACUGUAAAGUUUACACCUUUU